AGAGAGAGACAUGCGCGCAUAUCAAUAAGCGGAGGAAAAGAAACUAACUAGGAUUCCCUUAGUAACGGCGAGUGAAGCGGGUAGAGCUCAAAUUUGAAAUCUUCAAGGUUCUACCUUGACGAAUUGUAGUUUAUAGAAGUGUUUUCUGUUAGUGGAGUGGCAAAAGUUCUUUGGAAUAGGACAUCAUAGAGGGUGAGAAUCCCGUAUUUGGUCAUUCCUCCUAGCGUUGUGAUACACUUUCAACGAGUCGGAUUGUUUGGGAAUGCAGUCCAAAAUGGGUGGUAAAUUUCAUCUAAAGCUAAAUAUUGGCGAGAGACCGAUAGCGAACAAGUACCGUGAGGGAAAGAUGAAAAGAACUUUGAAAAGAGAGUUAAACAGUACAGUGAAAUUGUCAAAAGGGAAGCGUUUGACACCAGUGUUGUUUUCUCGAAAAUCAAUUAAAAAAGGCUGGAUUUUGUGUUGUAUUGACCUUAUCAAGCUUUCUUCACUCUUUUCUUGUCUUUUUUAAUGCACUCUUCGUUUAACAAGUCAACAUCAGUUUCUUUUGUUGUAAAAGGGUCAUUGGAAGGUGGCUUUCUUUUCGGAGAAAGUGUUUAUAGCCUUUGCUCUCUGCAAUCGGAGAGAUUGAGGUCUGCAGCGUAGACUCUUCGGGGUUAGAUACAUUUGUGCUAAGUUAUAGCCUUUUCAUAGACAACUUGUUGACUAUGAUCAGUCAUGUAGCUUACUCGCUUAUGCUAUUUUACCUACGCUUAGGAUGUUGACAGCAGUAUAGACUGU
rnacentral:rRNA from 1 species